rnacentral:rRNA from 1 species
UGCCAGCAGCCGCGGUAAUACGGGAGUGGCAAGCGUUAUCCGGAAUCAUUGGGUUUAAAGGGUGCGCAGGCGGUUUAUUAAGUCAGUGGUGAAAUCUCGAGGCACAACCUCGAAACUGCCAUUGAUACUGAUAAACUUGAGUUCAGUUGGAGUAGGCGGAAUGUGUAGUGUAGCGGUGAAAUGCUUAGAUAUUACACAGAACACCGAUAGCGAAGGCAGCUUACUAAACUGAUACUGACGCUGAGGCACGAAAGCGUGGGGAGCGAACAGGAUUAGAUA